rnacentral:rRNA from 1 species
GACGAACGCUGGCGGCGUGCUUAACACAUGCAAGUCGAACGGAAAGGCCCUGCUUUUGUGGGGUGCUCGAGUGGCGAACGGGUGAGCAACACGUGAGUAACCUGCCCUUGACUUUGGGAUAACUUCAGGAAACUGGGGCUAAUACCGGAUAGGAGCUCCUGCUGCAUGGUGGGGGUUGGAAAGUUUCGGCGGUUGGGGAUGGACUCGCGGCUUAUCAGCUUGUUGGUGGGGUAGUGGCUUACCAAGGCUUUGACGGGUAGCCGGCCUGAGAGGGUGACCGGCCACAUUGGGACUGAGAUACGGCCCAGACUCCUACGGGAGGCUGCAGUGGGGAAUAUUGCACAAUGGGCGGAAGCCUGAUGCAGCAACGCCGCGUGCGGGAUGACGGCCUUCGGGUUGUAAACCGCUUUCGCCUGUGACGAAGCGUGAGUGACGGUAAUGGGUAAAGAAGCACCGGCUAACUACGUG